GAAAUGUCUUUAAUUUGCAAAGACGUGGCACUUGUGGUGUCUUAAUCUCUUGAUUAAAACUUGAUGGUCGUGAGUGUAGCCCCGCCCCUUCGCCUCAAACGGCAUGGCGUACUGAUAACCAACAAUGAGAGCGGGUUUUACCAAUUGUGAAAGGCUAUCAAAAAAACUAUGGGCAGACCUACAUCAGUCGAUCAUUAAUGGCGUAUUAAAACCUUGUGGCAAUGGUCCGGGACACUGUGGGCCAACAAAGUACAGACUCAACAUCUGGACUAAGCGAUCCAGGCUCCAGAUGUUGUGACCCCACUG